CAGGGAGGCCAUCAACAGGCUCUACGAGGCGGUGCCGGGCGUCAAGGGCGUCUGGAAGAAGAAGGCCCCCAACAAGGCACUCGUCUCCAUCCUGGGCAAGAGCAACCUCCGCUUUGCCGGCAUGAGCAUCGCUGUCAACAUCUCCGUGGACGGCCUCAACCUCACGGUGCCGACCACGCGCCAGAUCAUCGCCAACCACCACAUGCAGUCCAUCUCCUUCGCCUCCGGCGGGGACACGGACACGGCCGAAUACGUCGCUUACGUUGCCAAAGACCCCGUGAACCAGCGAG